UUUUCAUUCUGUGUCCAGGUCAGUGGAGGAUCAUGGUGGUGACGUUGGGUUUAGCUGCACUAAUAACAACUGCUGUGGCCGUCAACAUCUGGGCAAGAACUAAAGGGAAAACAACACAGACGGGUGAAAACAGGGUGUGUAAUGAUGAAGAUGAUGGACUUUGAUCCUUCAGCUUCUGUUCAACUCCACUGAUCAACAUCUACUUACCAUAUAUUUGGAGGAGCAGUUGGAGGUUUAUACGAUUUAUUCAUUUCAGACCAGCUGAUUGAUUGAAUCUCUCUCCUCAGCAGUUUGUACUUCCUCAUUAGUUCCUCAGUAUAUAUACCACUGAUCCACCAUCAGACUGGGUUUGUGCACUUUUCCAGAACUUUCCAGCAUUCAGAGCCUGUUUGUUCUUUAUUUUUGGCCUCAGCAUGUAAAUAUAGAACUUUAUUUAUCCUCAUCUUUCUGCCUCAUUAAUGAACCUGAGUAUCCUCUAAGUGAUUUUCUCCUGCCUGUUCUGCAUUUGGAUCUAAUUCCUCUGAGGUGACAUUGUCCAGUUCGACUAUGUUUCUGAUUUCUUUGUGUACUAACAGUGUUUUCUGUUCAUUGUGAAUGGAGGAUAUUUUUCUCUGUGGAUGUCCUGCUUCUGCUGAUAAUAAACAACUUUGUUCUCAUGGGUAUUUCAAUGUGUCUAAAUAAAGAAAUGUGUG